AAAUAAUAGGUGCCAUCUUCUCCUUUAUGUCAUCCUUCAUUAUCAUCAACACGACCUCCUGUAUUGUUUCAUCAAUUUUCAGCAAUGUAUCAUUCAGAAGACACUUCUAAAGAGGAUUUACAAGUGCUAAAAAUGUUAUUUGUGUUGAAUAAAAAAAGAGUGGCAAUAAGUAGUUAUUUCAAAGGUGGAAAAGUGUCUACACGAAUACAACAAGAGUCACACAAAGCCAACAAAUACAAUCGGUGUUCGCAUUGGGUAUAUCGCAACUAACUUUGUGGGAAAAAUUUGUUUCUUGAUCCAUUUAUUUUCCAUCACGAAAACAACCUGCAGCUAUGUGUAGAUUAAGAAAGUAGCUUCAGCCAUGAGAUGCCUCAUUACUAUGAUGUUAAAACAAAAACCAAGGCUUUAAACCAGCGAUCAUACAAAUUCAUUAUGUAUCUAUACCACUUGUGUUCAUAUUUACAAUUAUGACAGCUUCACAUUUUUAUGUUAAAAAAAGUAGUACUCCUGUAAUAUCAAAACCUUUUUUCUAUA